CCCUCAGUAUUACACUUUCAGUUUCAGGUUUCCACAAGCCCCUCCUCUAGUUGUAAAAGCAGAACUCUUGUAUUGACUGGUUAAACCAGAUUUCAGGGUCUGUUGACUGUAAAAUAGAUCAUGAGAUUGUUGAGGAAUAUAUUUCUUUUUGCACUAUUUAUUCUUGAGUGCAGAUCUGAGGACAGAGUGGAUCAGCCAGACAAACAUGUGACUAAACUUAAAGGAGAAUCAGUCACAUUAAAGUGUAGAUACGAAACAACUUCAACACAAACAUACCUCUUCUGGUACAUCCAGAGAGCAAAUGACUUUCCUAAAUACAUCUUGAGAAGAGACACAUUUGGAACUGGGGAUAAUGGCACUGAGUUCCAGGAACGAUUUCACUCUGACGUGACAAAAUCAUCACAAUCAGUUCCACUUACAAUCCAGAAUCUGCAUGUGUCUGACUCUGCUGUGUACUACUGCGCUCUGAGGCCCACAGUAGGAAAGGAUGUUCAAACCACAUACAAAAACAUAGGGGCAUAAACAUGUGCCUCUUCCAUUCAGAUUAUGAAGUUUUGAAUUAUCCUUUUUUUUAAUUUAAAAACUACAAUAAAAUUGAAUGGCACUUCAUUAAUUUAAAGGAAUACU